rnacentral:rRNA from 1 species
AUACGGAGGGGGUUAGCGUUGUUCGGAAUUACUGGGCGUAAAGCGCACGUAGGCGGACUGGAAAGUUGGGGGUGAAAUCCCGGGGCUCAACCCCGGAACUGCCUCCAAAACUUCCAAUCUAGAGAUCGAGAGAGGUGAGUGGAAUUCCAAGUGUAGAGGUGAAAUACGUAGAUAUUUGGAGGAACACCAGUGGCGAAGGCGGCUCACUGGCUCGAUACUGACGCUGAGGUGCGAAAGCGUGGGGAGCAAACAGGAUUAGAAACCCUAGUAGUCC